UACGGGGGGGGCAAGCGUUGUUCGGAAUUACUGGGCGUAAAGGGCUCGUAGGCGGCCAACUAAGUCAGACGUGAAAUCCCCAGGCUCAACCUGGGAACUGCGUCUGAUACUGGAUGGCUUGAAUUCGGGAGAGGGAUGCAGAAUUCCAGGUGUAGCGGUGAAAUGCGUAGAUAUCUGGAGGAACACCGGUGGCGAAGGCGGGUCUCUGGGCCGAUACUGACGCUGAGGAACGAAAGCCAGGGGAGCGAACGGG
rnacentral:rRNA from 1 species